CUGUGUUCUCCAUUUUAAUUUACCCAUUUUUGCAUUCAUAAAUUGAUAUUCCACAACUCACUGUUACUGUAGCACUGACCCCUUUAAUACAUCAAGUGCAUGAACUAAGGAACAUGGAAAAACCACAGCACUAGUGUCGACAAAGUAUCAUUGAACAUGAUUCAGAAUUAAAGGACAUGAAAAUAAAAAAUAUUUACAAUUUGUCAGUAAGAUGCAACUAUUUACAGAUCACAGUUCCAUCCUCCAGAUCACUUUAUUGAAUAAAAAUAAUACAGUACACAGGAUUUUAGACAAUUUAAGUGUAAAAAACUAAAUAAAAACUCAGACUAAUGAAAAUUAUUUACAGUAUAUACAAAGCAAACCUAAUGUAUUUCUAAAUCAAUCACAGCAUAUAAAAAGCAACUCUAACAUAUUUACAGAUAUUUACAAUUCAGUGCCCCAAACAUACAAAAUGUACAAAGCAACCUUGCGUAUUUACAGCAUAUUUACAAUUCAAACUGUCAACAGCAGAGGUGAAGUGCUCGUAGCUGGUAAACACUCUGUUGCUCAGACCUUUAAACGGGGACAUCAUUGUUACUGGGCAGAAAGCCUUUUUUCUACUUUCUAUGUCCCUGUGUUGGCUGGCCACAGACUGUACAUGCUGGCAGAUUUUGCACCCUGGUAGCCCUUCAGCUUCUGCUUGUACAGCGUUGCUCUUGUCCAGCACGAAGAAGUAGUCACAGGUGUGCCAGCAGUGUGAGCUGCAGUUGCAGGGUCUGAUGAAGCAAGCAGGAUGGGCUGUCUGGAGGGGCCAGUAAUCCCAGAGACGCCAGCAAUCUUUUGGGCUGCUGUGGAUACAGCGAGGGAUGAUGCAGGGUCUGAUGAAGCAAGCAGGAUGGGCUGUCUGGAGGGGCCAGUAAUCCCAGAGACGCCAGCAAUCUUUUGGGCUGCUGUGGAUACAGCGAGGGAUGAUGCAGGCCUGGUGAUAGUUUCCUCACUAGUUAAGCGUGAUGUGGGGCAGGUCAGCAUCCAGCUCAUGUUCCUCCCCGUCAUCAGCCUCGUCUGGAUCAGGCUGCCCAGACUGAACCUCCUCCUGCUCGGGACCAGGUCCAUCGUUGAUGAUGUCCUGAAGAGAGAAGGGUCUGGAUUCCCCCAUACUCAAGCAGCUCGUUGGAGGAGACAACAGCAGGGAUCCUGAAAUUCUCCUCCAGUCUCCCCAGACAGCUGCUGACAGGAGGUGUUGAGGUGGUUGAUCAGCGGUGCAGAGUAGUUCCAGUAACACCAUCCUCUGCCCCUAAACACCACAUCAGAGCUCCUGUCAGCGUUCCACUGGACGAUGC
ensembl:lncRNA